rnacentral:rRNA from 1 species
CUGGUUGAUCCCGCCGGAACAGACACAUGGUUGGACGCCGUCCAUCGGGUGCAUGGAAUUGGAUCAACGCCGGGGUUUCCGGUUGAUCCCGCCGGAAUUGGAUUCAACGCCGGAGCUCCGGUUGAUCCCGCCGGAAUUGGAUUCAACGCCGGAGUUCCGGUUGAUCCUGCCGGAAUUGGAGUCAACGCCGGAGUUCCGAUUGAUCCCGCCGGAAUUGGAUUCAACGCCAGGGUUCCGGUUGAUCCUGCCGGACCUGACUGCUAUCGGAUUGGUACUAAGCCAUGCGAGUCGUUGUAGCAAUACAAGGCGGACUGCUCAGUAACACGUAGUUAACUUAACCUAUGGAUGGGAAUAACCUCGGGAAACUGAGAAUAAUACCCUAUAGACCACAGUGCCUGGAAUGGCCUGUGGUUGAAAUGAUUUAUCGCCGUAGGAUAGGACUGCGGCCUAUCAGCUUGUUGGUGAGGUAAUGGCCCACCAAGGCUAUAACAGGUACGGGCUCUGAGAGGAGGGGCCCGGAGAUGGGUACUGAGACACGGACCCAGGCCCUAUGGGGCGCAGCAGGCGAGAAACCUUUGCAAUGUGCGAAAGCACGACAAGGUUAAUCCGAGUGUCUCCU